AGCGAACGCUGGCGGCAGGCUUAACACAUGCAAGUCGAACGGGCAUCUUCGGAUGUCAGUGGCAGACGGGUGAGUAACACGUGGGAACGUACCCUUCGGUUCGGAAUAACUCGGGGAAACUUGAGCUAAUACCGGAUACGCCCUUUUGGGGAAAGGUUUACUGCCGAAGGAUCGGCCCGCGUCUGAUUAGCUUGUUGGUGGGGUAACGGCCUACCAAGGCGACGAUCAGUAGCUGGUCUGAGAGGAUGAUCAGCCACACUGGGACUGAGACACGGCCCAGACUCCUACGGGAGGCAGCAGUGGGGAAUAUUGGACAAUGGGCGCAAGCCUGAUCCAGCCAUGCCGCGUGAGUGACGAAGGCCUUAGGGUUGUAAAGCUCUUUUGUCCGGGACGAUAAUGACGGUACCGGAAGAAUAAGCCCCGGCUAACUUCGUG
rnacentral:rRNA from 1 species